CCUACGGGAGGCAGCAGUGGGGAAUAUUGCACAAUGGGGGAAACCCUGAUACAGCGACGCCGCGUGAGUGAAGAAGUAUCUCGGUAUGUAAAGCUCUAUCAGCAGGGAAGAAAAUGACGGUACCUGACUAAGAAGCCCCGGCUAACUACGUGCCAGCAGCCGCGGUAAUACGUAGGGGGCAAGCGUUAUCCGGAUUUACUGGGUGUAAAGGGAGCGUAGACGGCGCUGCAAGUCCGGAGUGAAAGCCCAUGGCUUAACCAUGGUACUGCUUUUGAAACUGUAUGGCUAGAUUGCAGGAGAGGCAAGUGGAAUUCCUAGUGUAGCGGUGAAAUGCGUAGAUAUUAGGAGGAACACCAGUGGCGAAGGCGGCUUGCUGGACUGUAAAUGACGCUGAGGCUCGAAAGCGUGGGGAGCAAACAGGAUUAGAUACCCCAGUAGUC
rnacentral:rRNA from 1 species